rnacentral:misc_RNA from 1 species
AAACCAACAUUUAUCAUUUAGACUAAAAAAAUGAAGUGAUACAUUGAAGAGCUACAAAUUUUAAUACAAGAUGAAUAAUACACUUCUUUCUAAUCUAAGAUCAGACUUAGCUUCAUAAGAUUUACAACUCUAUCGUACGUAGAUCGUAGACCGGACUUAUUAUCGCUGUAUAAAGGGACAUCCUCGGGUGCCUAUAGCAUAGAGAAUUUUGGUAAAAUGGUCACCAACGUCUCAAAAGUAUCAUGUCAAAAGUGGUGCUUCUAUGUUCUCUGCAAUUUCAUCGAAGGUUCUCUCUCGUGGUGCCUCAACUUUUAGCGUGCUAGCAUAACACAGUGAAACGACCAUGCAUAAAGAAGCACAGAGUAUACUGAAUCCUUUGCAGUUGAAAGGUGCAUCGCGGGAUAAAAACCAUGAGGUCAAUGGACUCAUUACAAUUGGAGAUAACAAACUCGCGACUGAUUGAAUACCAGCAACAAAGCCCUGUGCUUUGCCCUGAUCUGCUGAAAGUGCUGCUUUAGAUAUUACAGCAUAAGUAGAAGGUUUAACGAGGAUGUAGAUGACCCCAAAAGAAGCACUUAAAUAUGGCACCCAAGGUGCCCAUGCUAAUCCAUAGAGCAUUGCAUAGGCUAUUGAUGAAAGCAAGGCCAGACAAAGUAUCACUUUCUCCCCAAAAAGAGGAUUGAUAAGAGGAAG